rnacentral:rRNA from 1 species
CGAACGGGUGAGUAAUACAUCGGAACGUGUCCGCUCGUGGGGGACAACCAGCCGAAAGGUCGGCUAAUACCGCAUGAGUUCUACGGAAGAAAGAGGGGGACCCGCAAGGGCCUCUCGCGAGCGGAGCGGCCGAUGACUGAUUAGCCUGUUGGUGAGGUAACGGCUCACCAAAGCAACGAUCAGUAGCUGGUCUGAGAGGACGACCAGCCACACUGGGACUGAGACACGGCCCAGACUCCUACGGAAGGCAGCAG